rnacentral:rRNA from 1 species
UGGGGAAUUUUCCGCAAUGGGCGAAAGCCUGACGGAGCAACGCCGCGUGAGGGAUGAAGGCCUCUGGGCUGUAAACCUCUUUUAUCAAGGAAGAAGAUCUGACGGUACUUGAUGAAUAAGCCACGGCUAAUUCCGUGCCAGCAGCCGCGGUAAUACGGGAGUGGCAAGCGUUAUCCGGAAUUAUUGGGCGUAAAGCGUCCGCAGGCGGCCCUUCAAGUCUGCUGUUAAAAAGUGGAGCUUAACUCCAUCAUGGCAGUGGAAACUGAGGGGCUUGAGUGUGGUAGGGGCAGAGGGAAUUCCCGGUGUAGCGGUGAAAUGCGUAGAUAUCGGGAAGAACACCAGUGGCGAAGGCGCUCUGCUGGGCCAUCACUGACGCUCAUGGACGAAAGCCAGGGGAGCGAAUGGGAUUAGAUACCCCAGUAGUC